GAUGAAGAACGUAGCAAAAUGCGAUAAGUAAUGUGAAUUGCAGAAUUCAGUGAAUCAUCGAAUCUUUGAACGCACAUUGCGCCCGCCAGUAUUCUGGCGGGCAUGCCUGUUCGAGCGUCAUUUCAACCAUCAAGCCCCCGGCUUGUGUUGGGGACCUGCGGCUGCCGCAGGCCCUGAAAAGCAGUGGCGGGCUCGCUGUCACACCGAGCGUAGUAGAUUUCAUCUCGCUCAGGGCGUGCUGCGGGUUCCGGCCGUUAAACCACCUUCAUAACCCAAGGUUGACCUCGGAUCAGGUAGGAAGACCCGCUGAACUUAAGCAUAUCAAUAAGCGGAGGA
rnacentral:misc_RNA from 1 species